GCGACAGGCUUAACACAUGCAAGUCGAGGGGCAGCACAGGUAGCAAUACCGGGUGGCGACCGGCGCACGGGUGAGUAACGCGUAUGCAACUUACCUAUCAGAGGGGGAUAACCCGGCGAAAGUCGGACUAAUACCGCAUGAAGCAGGGGUCCCGCAUGGGGAUAUUUGCUAAAGAUUCAUCGCUGAUAGAUAGGCAUGCGUUCCAUUAGGCAGUUGGCGGGGUAACGGCCCACCAAACCGACGAUGGAUAGGGGUUCUGAGAGGAAGGUCCCCCACAUUGGUACUGAGACACGGACCAAACUCCUGCGGGAGGCAGCAGUGAGGAAUAUUGGUCAAUGGCCGAGAGGCUGAACCAGCCAAGUCGCGUGAGGGAUGAAGGUUCUAUGGAUCGUAAACCUCUUUUAUAAGGGAAUAAAGUGCGGGACGUGUCCCGUUUUGUAUGUACCUUAUGAAUAAGGAUCGGCUAACUCCGUGCCAGCAGCCGCGGUAAUACGGAGGAUCCGAGCGUUAUCCGGAUUUAUUGGGUUUAAAGGGUGCGUAGGCGGCCUUUUAAGUCAGCGGUGAAAGUCUGUGGCUCAACCAUAGAAUUGCCGUUGAAACUGGGGGGCUUGAGUAUGUUUGAGGCAGGCGGAAUGCGUGGUGUAGCGGUGAAAUGCAUAGAUAUCACGCAGAACCCCGAUUGCGAAGGCAGCCUGCCAAGCCAUUACUGACGCUGAUGCACGAAAGCGUGGGGAUCAAACAGGAUUAGAUACCCUGGUAGUCCACGCAGUAAACGAUGAUCACUAGCUGUUUGCGAUACACUGUAAGCGGCACAGCGAAAGCGUUAAGUGAUCCACCUGGGGAGUACGCCGGCAACGGUGAAACUCAAAGGAAUUGACGGGGGCCCGCACAAGCGGAGGAACAUGUGGUUUAAUUCGAUGAUACGCGAGGAACCUUACCCGGGUUUGAACGCAUUCGGACCGAGGUGGAAACACCUUUUCUAGCAAUAGCCGUUUGCGAGGUGCUGCAUGGUUGUCGUCAGCUCGUGCCGUGAGGUGUCGGCUUAAGUGCCAUAACGAGCGCAACCCUUGCCACUAGUUACUAACAGGUAAAGCUGAGGACUCUGGUGGGACUGCCAGCGUAAGCUGCGAGGAAGGCGGGGAUGACGUCAAAUCAGCACGGCCCUUACAUCCGGGGCGACACACGUGUUACAAUGGCGUGGACAAAGGGAAGCCACCUGGCGACAGGGAGCGAAUCCCCAAACCACGUCUCAGUUCAGAUCGGAGUCUGCAACCCGACUCCGUGAAGCUGGAUUCGCUAGUAAUCGCGCAUCAGCCAUGGCGCGGUGAAUACGUUCCCGGGCCUUGUACACACCGCCCGUCAAGCCAUGGGAGCCGGGGGUACCUGAAGUCCGUAACCGCGAGGAUCGGCCUAGGGUAAGACUGGUGACUGGGGCUAAG
rnacentral:rRNA from 1 species